ensembl:snRNA U5 U5 spliceosomal RNA
AUACUCUGGUUUCUCUUCAAAUCGUAUAAAUCUUUCCCCCUUACUAACGAUUUAUGUGGAGAGGAACAAGCACUAGUGUUUUGGAAUUUUCUGAGGCUCUGCUUCAGCUUUUUAGAGGU